rnacentral:rRNA from 1 species
CCUACGGGUGGCAGCAGUGAGGAAUAUUGGUCACUGGACGCAAGUCUGAACCAGCCAUGCCGCGUGCAGGAAGACGGCUCUAUGAGUUUUCAACUGCUUUUGUACGAGGGCAAACGCAGAUACGCGUAUCUGUCUUAACGUAUCGUACGAAUAAGGAUCGGCUAACUUCGUUCCAGCAGCCGCGGUAAUACGGAGGAUUCAAGCGUUAUCCGGAUUUAUUGGGUUUAAAGGGUGCUUAGGCGGUCGGUUAAGUUAGAGGUGAAAUCCCGAGGCUCAAAUUCGGAAUUGCAUCUGAUACUGUUCGGCUAGAGAGUAGUAGCGGUAGGCGGAA